ensembl:misc_RNA Metazoa_SRP Metazoan signal recognition particle RNA
GCUGGGCGUGGUUGUGGGUGCCUGUAAUCCCAGCUACUCGGGAGGCUGAGGCAGGAGAUUCGCUUGAACCCGGGAGGCAGAGGUUGCAGUGAGCCAAGAUUGCACCACUGCAUUCCAGCCUGGGUAACAGAGUGAGAACCUGUCUCAA